rnacentral:ncRNA from 1 species
UCCGCUGUUCCGUCAGCGGUAGCCUACCGACCCAGGCGAGAGGGGUAACUCUCUGGUCUGAAGCGGUUGGGACAACGUAGCAAGGGCUGCGAGUACCAAUGCGGCUCUCGCC